GNAUCUGUUCUUAUCAGUUUAAUAUCUGAUACGUCCCCUAUCUGGGGACCAUAUAUUAAAUUGAUUUUUGGAAUAGGGAGAUGGAAUAGGGGCUUGCUCCGUCCACUCCACGCAUCGACCUGGUAUUGCAGUACCUCCAGGAACGGUGC
rnacentral:snRNA from 1 species